AGCGGAUAUAAUAUAGGAUGUUACGCUCUAACGGAGAGCGCCUGAAAUUCACCAUAUCACGACGUAAGCGGCCUACCUAGCCCCUACAACAUGGAGCAUAUGGAACAGGAUGAAGUGAUACCGCCACAGCAGCACAUGUCACUCAGCUAUGAUGACAGCUACGAGGGUGAAUACUCGUCAACGCCCAAUUCACGCAAUCGACGUGUCAUACGCGAAAUUAUCGUGUAAUAGAAUAGAAAAAAUAAAAAUAUUAAUUUAAAAUAGAGAGUGAAAACAAAAUUAAUACAAAUCUUUUUGGUUAAGAGAGUGUUGUUAAAAUGCAUCGCGCGUAGAGUAUGUGUGAUUCGAGUGAGGCCAACAAAAAACGAAACAAAACAUAACAACAAAAGCGGUGCAUAUGUUUACAAAUAAGUUAAACAAAAUGAAACGCACUCGCGAAAAGCCAGAAAUGUUAAGCGAAAUAUUUUACAAAACCACUUUUUAUGUUUUUUUUUUUGUUUUGUGAAAAUAAGUUUAUUCUUAUGUAAGUCAAGCGGGUAAAAGCGAAGGAGAGGAAAAAUAGAAAAAUGUGAGUGAAAUCAAAAUAAGCGCCCUCACAGCAUCAAUUUACUGCAGCAGAAACACAAACACACACACAGACUGAAAUGUCUCGGCAAGCACUGAUUGUUUAGCAUUUUUUGAGGAAAAGUCAAUAUUUCUCGCUGGCUUUAAAUAAUAAGAAAUUCACACACACCCACUCACAUGUGUAGCAAGCAACGGGCGUCGCAUGCAACAUAGCAUACUUAUGGGAGUAAAGUUGCACAUAAACACACACACACACACCCACACCAACGCAUUUCUGGUUUAUCUCUCUGCUGUUUGCAUUUGUGCAAGUGCCAUUCAAACAUACAUACAUACAUGCAUACAUAUGUACCAGCAUGCAUAUUGCAUGCAACCUUCGUUUUUUGCCACUUUUAUGCACUCGCGCACUCAAUCACCCACUCACUCACUCACUCCUGAAACGCAUUAAUUUCGCGCACACUCGCUGCAUUCUUCUGCUAAUCAUGUAUUCAUUCAAGCAUUCCUUCUGCUGCGCUCGUUUUACGUACAAACAAACAUAAAUAUUUACACUAUCUACACCCAACGAAAAGCAAAAACAACCGGAAACAUAUUCAACGUAUUUGAGAGUUGCCAUUUUUUUUUUAGAAUUCUUAGUUUAUAAAGCAAAGGAAUAAGUAAAAUUUUUUAUAAGAAAAAAAAGGAAACGAAAAAGUACGAGACUCUUCUACUAACUAAUUAAGUGUAUGUAAAUUAUGUACUAUAAAUACAUACAUACAUACAUAGGAGUAUUUUCGAGACAAAUUUUCGGAAUGAGGUUUGGCGCUUUGCGCGCGUGACAUGCUGAGAUAGUGGCAAAUACCUUCUAUUAUCCAUAUUCUGUUAACUGUAAAAAAAGCAAGAAAACAAAAAUUUAAAAAUAAUUAAGAUUGUAGCUAAAAGUGCAAAUAUGUUGGUAAGUGCGUGUGUACUUAAGCAUAAAUGCGGAAAAAUUUGCUAGAUUUCCGUUUUUUUUUUUUAUUAAAGUAAGCUGCCAAAUGAAAACGCAAAAGGAAUUACUUACCCAAAAAAGAAAACACAUCUUUCGAAUUCCCUCUAACACUUUUAUUUAUGUACAGAUAUUAAUUCAUACAUAGAAAAAAUAAAACACGCAUUUUGGCAUACUAGCGGGACAUUGUGCAGCGCGACGAACCGGAAAGCAUAUAUUUUUUUGAUGAAAAAUUAAGAAAAUAUAUAAAUUAUGCAAAUCAUGGCACGAUUGUCGCAAAUUAGCAACAAAGAAAUGAGUAAGAUUUUGAACAUAUUUUUGCAUAAUCUUCAAAUUUUUUUAACUUUUCUUUUUGACCUUAAUAUGAAGAUUUUUUGAACUCAACAAAAGUCAUAUGCAUAUUUUUGUUCAAAACAAGUUUUUUUGCAUAAUUUUAUUCACGUACAUACAUAUGUAUAUUAGGGUGAUUCAGAAAAAAAAAAUUUAUUUCUCGGAACCGUGCUCAAAUGUUUAAACUAAAUAAGUCUCGAAAAAAUAUGAGCCCAUAAGAAUACACAGGAAAAAUUGUUUUUCUUUUUUACUUCUGAUUUUUAUAUUUAACGAACGAUACGUUGCACUAUAAAGGUAUAGAGAAUGGAACGCUCUAUAAAAAAAGUCAAAAGUCAUUUUUAGAUAAGUCAACUCGGUCAAAAGUUAUUCGAGGUCAAAAUCGAAUGAAUGGCCUCACAUUUUCUGAGACUUAUUUUGGCGUCUAAGCGGAACUUUUGAGCAUGGUUCUGAGAAAAACAACCAAAAUUUUUCACCAUAAUGUAUAUUGUAGUUAUUUUACAACUUUUCGAAUGAAUUUGAAAAACCUAUAUAAAAAGUAUUCAUUUUCUAAUUUUAACAAUACUCUUAUACGCUUUUUUGCAAUUAAAGAACACAAAGUACGGAACGUAGCGGUUAUGAUAUUUAUAAUAAAAAUCAUUACAUAAACGUAAUAUAUAUUUUUUCGAACAAGUUUAAUCAUUGUUUUAUGAUUUUUAUUCUUUCGAUCAAGAAUAGCGGUUAUUUUUGGAUUUAUAAUUUUUCGAUAAAUUUUGUACCGUUAUUUUGGAUUUGUAUUUGUUAGAUCAUAUUAUAAUCGUUGUUUUUAGAUUUAGUUUGUUGAUCAUAGGAGCUUUAACUCGGUCUUAAAAACGCAGUCUCCAUCAUAACGAGAAAAUAUUAUGGAAAAAAAUGUAAGUGCAAAACAACGAAUAUUUUUUAGC